CAAAAAGUAGUUUAUCAGAAUGCUAGCUUUGGGA
rnacentral:tRNA from 1 species